AUUGAACGCUGGCGGCAGGCCUAACACAUGCAAGUCGAGCGCGCGGCGGACGCGGGAGUAAUGUGUAGGGACUGCCCGAUAGAGGGGGGUACAUACUGGAAACGGUAGCUAUUACCCCACACUAUCGGAUAAAACAUAUGGGAUUAGCUAGUAGGUGAGGUAAUGGCUCACCUAGGCGACGAUCGCUCGAUGGUCUGAGAGGAUGAUCAGCCACACUGGGACUGAGACACGGCCCAGACUCCUACGGAGGCAGCAGUGGGGAAUAUUGCACAAUGGGCGCAAGCCUGAUGCAGCCAUGCCGCGUGUAUGAAGAAGGCCUUAGGGUUGUAAAGUACUUUCAGUCGGGAGGCGUUACCGGCAGAAGAAGCACCGGCUAACUCCGUGCCAGCAGCCGCGGUAAUAC
rnacentral:rRNA from 1 species